rnacentral:rRNA from 1 species
UUCUUUAGUAAUUGCGAAUGAACAAGGAUAUGCUUAGCUUGACAAAUGGAGCUAUUAGCUUUGAAUUGUAUUGUGGAAAUGUAUUACCAACAGAGGUGCAGGUGCCAGCCUAUUGAAAGAAAGCGUCAAUGAGGGUGAUAAUCCUGUUUGUCAUGUGCAGCCCUCUGUGCACGGUGUAUAUUUGUUGAGUCACACUCCUUGGCAUUGGAAUGCAAAGUGGGUGGUAAGUUUCAUGUAAAGGUAAAUAUGCAAUUGAGACUGAUAGCACACAAGUACCAUGAGGGAAAUAUGAAAAGGACUUUGAAAAGAGAAUUAAAUGAGUUUGUAUUUGCUGAACAAAAAGUAAACAGACUUGAUUUCUUUGGUGAGGUUGUUGUGCUUGCCUGACAAUAAGUUUUGGUGGUGGGUACAAUGAUUCUUUCUUGGCAUGCCAGUUUCUAUUUGUACAUUUGAUUACCUUUGCAUAUGAAUGGGAAGUUUCUUGUGGGGGGGUUGAUUGCAUGUGCAUGUAAUGAUUUGUGUUUUGAUGUAUGAGUCUGGUGUUUCUGUUGGUGUUUCUGUGCUUGAGGUUGAUUCCUUCCUUGGACUGACAAGCCCUGACAC